UACGGGGGGGGCAAGCGUUGUUCGGAAUUACUGGGCGUAAAGGGCUCGUAGGCGGCCAACUAAGUCCGACGUGAAAUCCCCAGGCUUAACCUGGGAACUGCGUCGGAUACUGGAUGGCUUGAAUUCGGGAGAGGGAUGCAGAAUUCCAGGUGUAGCGGUGAAAUGCGUAGAUAUCUGGAGGAACACCAAUGGCGAAGGCAGCUCGCUGGAACGGUACUGACGCUGAGGCGCGAAAGCGUGGGGAGCGAACAGG
rnacentral:rRNA from 1 species